rnacentral:ncRNA from 2 species
AAAAUGAAUAGAGGUUGCAGUCAACAAGAGUAAUCAAUCAAACCGGCAGGUAAAGCGAUUGAUGAAAGGGAAGAUUGCCGAAAUAACAACAUGGCAAUGUUGGUUGUUGGUCCAGACAUUAACAGUGGUUGGAUUGUCGCAAGGAAUUGCGGAGCGCUAUCAAUGAU